UUCCAACAGGCCACUCUGCAUCCCCUGUCGGCCUCCCAAAUGGUGAGACCAAGAGUGUCCAGGGCAUGGGGAAACUGGAAGGCAGCAGCCUCGAGGGCCGGGUCCAGGAUCCACGUCCUCCAGUGAGGCCUGGUGCCCUUGGCCGUAACCCAGCAGAGGAAAGGGCGGGCCGUGGACUUGGAGGAGGUUUUCCCUUGGACCACGCAGAAUGUGGCACUGGCCUGGACACGAUCACGCUGGUCACUCGUUUGCCCAUGUUCAGCCUGCUCAGGGAGACAGGCCCGGCGUGGAGAACAGACUACAGGAGCAGCAGGCUGAGGCACGCCCCCAGGCACCCCGUGAGGCGGGCAGUGCAGGGAAGCUGGUGCUCCAGGAUGCGUUUCCUGCCCACGCACCAGGCUUGGCUCCCGGGCCCCACGGCCUGUGGGUUUUCUGAGCAAGGGACAGGGAGGUGCCCAGGCCUGGUUGCCCAGGCAGGCCUGACAGGAACUGGCGAGAAGCCACUCUGGAGGGCCGGGCGCAGGCCAAGGCAGGGCGGUGGGGCACUGAACCAGCUCCAAACUGCUGGCAGAGCUGGCCUGAGUGAGGAAGUGAGGUUCCCAAGCACAGAAGGCACAUCAAAAAGGAAUGCCUCCUCCAGGAAGGCACUACACUGCCAAAGGAGGUGUGGCCUCGCCCGGCUCGAAAAGAGGUCAUUUUCAGAACAUGGGACUCUCCAAGCCCUGAGGACAGGAGGCAGCCUGGGGAGUAUGAACCUCGUGCCUGGUAGGGGACCCCACACCCGAGGUACCACCCAAAACACAGCCCAGAUCUGCACGGAGGGAUGGUUCCCUGAGCAGGCGUGACUGUCACAGACAGGCUGGGCCUGGGGGCUGUCGGGAGGCUGCUGCCCCGGGCUGGGUCUGGAUACAAAACUUGGACUGUGUCAAGCAGCGGGACACUGGCAGGAGCACCGGGAAGGACGGCACGUGGCUGCAACGUCUCCCGCCUUCAGGACGCGGGCCAAGGCCAAGGCACCUGGAAGCAGAGUGUCCACUGACGGGAUAACAGACUCACUGCUUGGCCAACGGCAGUCCGGCUCCUGAGGCUCCUCCUGGGCCCUCUGUGCACAUCCUGCACCUGCCGCAUCCCAGACACUGGCCCGGGAGCUCCACAGACAGCCCGGCACAUGCCUCUGUCCUCUCACCGCUGUGAGGGGCAGGGGUGUGACCAGCCCAUCUCUCUACACCGGGUUGAAGGCCACACACGGGGAGCAGCCCACAGCAGGCAAGGGGCUGGCCCAAGACAGACCUGUAUGUCUUCCUGCAGCACCCAAGCUGAGCAAUGACUUCGGGGGAGAGCUGAUGUCACGUGCUGCUAGGUGAGUAUGGACGGUCACACCAGAGCUGUUAGGCUCACACGCCAGGCUCCGGAAAUUCAGACUCUGGAAAUGCUGUGGUUACUGCCUGGAGCUGCUCUGAGCCUUCCGAGGUGGACUCACUCCUCUGCCUCGGGCCCUAGGACCUGCUGUGUAGCUUUGAAGUGAUUCACAGCACUCACAUAGUCUGAUGUUUUGGGGUGACCUGACCCCCCUGCAAGAGUGUGAUGUCUUAUCAGACCACAUAUGUGAGGACUUGAGUGAACUCUGCAACCUUGGGAAUGCCACUUAAACCUUAUCAGACGCUCCCUUACGUGAGUUACUGGCCCUGACUGCUGGACUGCAAAAAUAGACAUCAGCUUGAAGGUUGUGCAGAUGCUUUGAGGCAAGCUAUACGCUGCUGGCCUGGGAGCUGGACCUUGGUCCCAGCUUCUCAGAGAGCUCCCGCUCUCACGUUCUCCACUGCUACCAAGGCACACCUCGAGCUCUCACCAGAUCUCACUUUCCAGGGGCCCGCUCCAUCCCAGCAGAGCAACUGGACCCUGGCCAUUCUGCCACUCACCUCCCUGCCGUGAAUGCACCCCAUCCAUGGAGGCCCUGCUUCCCUGCCAGGCGUCUUCACCUCCUCCCCUCUCCUCCCCUCUGAGCACUGUGAACCCGAGAACAAAUCCUCUUUGACAAUAAACCGUGUGAUUCGUGGAAUCAUACUUUGAUCAUCUCCUUAUUUCCUCCACACACAAGGACCCCUGCAAUGCCAAUGGCCCCAGGAGAGGGCAGAGUCAGCCACAGGGACCCCACCUCACAGGCUUCAACACUGCUGAUGCCUGUCAUCCCAGCACCGUGGGAGGCCAAGGCGGCCAAGAUCGCCUGAGCCCAGGAGUUCAAGACCAGCCUGGGCAACAC